rnacentral:rRNA from 1 species
AGUGAACGCUGGCGGUAGGCCUAACACAUGCAAGUCGAACGGCAGCACAGUAAGAGCUUGCUCUUACGGGUGGCGAGUGGCGGACGGGUGAGGAAUACAUCGGAAUCUACUUUUUCGUGGGGGAUAACGUAGGGAAACUUACGCUAAUACCGCAUACGACCUACGGGUGAAAGCAGUGGAUCUUCGGACCUUGCGCGAUAGAAUGAGCGGAUGUCGGUUUAGCUAGUGGGCGGGGUAAAGGAACACCAAGGCGACGAUACGUAGCUGGUCUGAGAGGAUGAUCCGCCACACGAGAAGUGAGACGCGGCCCAGACUUCUGCGAGAGACAGGUGUGGAGAAUAUUGCACAAUGGGCGCAAGCGUGAUACAGCCAUACCGCGUGGGAGAAGGAGGCCUUCGGGUUGUAAAGCCGUUUUGUUGGAAGAAAAAAGCAGCAGGUUAAUACGCCGCUGUUGUGACGGUACCCAAAGAAUAAGCACCGGCUAACUGCG